UUGUGCUCUGACGUGCACUCAGGCAAUGAUGCUGAGCUGAAUUCCACUUUUAUAAAUAUACAGUUAAACAGUUUAUUUCCCAGCUGGUCUCUUUGCACCUUGUGUGAGUUAAAUCUGAGACGCUCAAACAAACCCGACACUUUAUUUACUCAUCAGAGGUCUCAGACUUAAGCUUCAGUGUGCCAGCUUACAACAGACCCUUAACCAAAUUAAACAAGGUAAAUGAAGGGCAGGUGGGAAGAGGCUUUCCUAUCAACUGGUGUGUACUGUGGUCGGGCAGUCGCUCCCAUUAGCUCCCCCUACAGUCUAAACCAGACAGGAACCUGCUGCAGCAAACAGAAAAUCCAGCUUCUUGUAGACUUGACAAACUCCCACACAGUUCAGACAGAUAUGAAGAGAAACUUAAUGAAGGCAGCAGAUUAUUAUGGGGUGUCAAAGAUCUUUCAGCAAAAAGGUGCUUCAAGAAGACUAAAGCUGUGUCCCAAACUACAUACUAACUUCAUACAACAAAUUGUUUUAUAUUAGUAGAAAAUGAUGCAAUACAUGCGCUGCGUUUUUUAAAAUUCUAGUUGUU